rnacentral:rRNA from 1 species
UACAGAGGGUGCGAGCGUUAAUCGGAAUUACUGGGCGUAAAGCGCGCGUAGGCGGCUUUUCAAGCCGAUUGUGAAAUCCCCGGGCUUAACCUGGGAACUGCAGUCGGGACUGUCUAGCUAGAGUAUGGGAGAGGGAAGUGGAAUUUCAGGUGUAGCGGUGAAAUGCGUAGAUAUCAGGAGGAACACCAAUUGCGAAGGCAGCUCGCUGGGACGUUACUGACGCUGAGACGCGAAAGCGUGGGGAGCAAACAGG